GUAGUAUUCCCUCUGUCCCAAAAUUCUUGUCUUACAUUUGUCUAGAUACGGAUGUAUCUAGUACUAGAUACAUCCGUAUCUAGACAAAUUUAAGACAAGAAUUUUGGGACGGAGGGAGUACAAA
rnacentral:pre_miRNA from 1 species